rnacentral:rRNA from 1 species
UACGGAGGGUGCAAGCGUUAAUCGGAAUUACUGGGCGUAAAGCGCACGCAGGCGGUCUGUCAAGUCGGAUGUGAAAUCCCCGGGCUCAACCUGGGAACUGCAUCCGAAACUGGCAGGCUAGAGUCUUGUAGAGGGGGGUAGAAUUCCAGGUGUAGCGGUGAAAUGCGUAGAGAUCUGGAGGAAUACCGGUGGCGAAGGCGGCCCCCUGGACAAAGACUGACGCUCAGGUGCGAAAGCGUGGGGAGCAAACAGGAUUAGAUACCCUGGUAGUCCACGCCGUAAACGAUGUCGAUUGGGAGGUGGUGCCCUUGAGGCGUGGGUGCCGGAGCUAACGCGUUAAGUCGACCGCCUGGGGAGUACGGCCGCAAGGUUAAA